GCGAGAGUGGUGGAAUUGGCAGACACGCAAGAUUUAGGUUCUUGUGCCUUCGGGUGUGGGGGUUCGAGUCCCCCCUCUCGCA
rnacentral:tRNA from 1 species